GACGAACGCUGGCGGCGUGCUUAACACAUGCAAGUCGAACGGAAAGGCCCUGCUUUUGUGGGGUGCUCGAGUGGCGAACGGGUGAGUAACACGUGAGUAACCUGCCCUUGACUUUGGGAUAACUUCAGGAAACUGGGGCUAAUACCGGAUAGGAGCUCCUGCUGCAUGGUGGGGGUUGGAAAGUUUCGGCGGUUGGGGAUGGACUCGCGGCUUGUCAGCUUGUUGGUGGGGUAGUGGCUUACCAAGGCUUUGACGGGUAGCCGGCCUGAGAGGGUGACCGGCCACAUUGGGACUGAGAGACGGCCCAGACUCCUACGGGAGGCAGCAGUGGGGAAUAUUGCACAAUGGGCGGAAGCCUGAUGCAGCAACGCCGCGUGCGGGAUGACGGCCUUCGGGGUGUAAACCGCUUUCGCCUGUGACGAAGCGUGAGUGACGGUAAUGGGUAAAGAAGCACCGGCUAACUACGUG
rnacentral:rRNA from 1 species